AAAAGCUCUGGCAGGAUGGGUCAUGCAACCCUCAUUAUUAGGUGAAUCUCAGGAUAUGGUGCUUGAUUACGUUCUCCAUUUGCUUCAGCCCUUGUCUGUAGCCCAGGAAGUUGCUUUUCUUUACAAAAAUUCUGUAAAUUGGGUUGUCCAAAACUUUUCUAAUGACUGACAACAACAAAGAGAAAAAGUCUUGGAUAACACACACUGGCUUUGUUACAUCUAAUCACAUGUAUACAAACACACAAGACAAGGUUAUGGUGCUGGUGUUGCUUUGGGAAUGGAGGUAUUGUGGCUUUCUAAUGAACUCAUUAAGAGCGCUGUUCCUGGUGUGGAAGGACUCUGUCAAGCUCUCCUUAGGCAAAUUUCUGGAGGUGAUAAUUCACCCUCGAAUGUCUGGCUCGCAGAAAAUGUAUUAGGAUUGUUGAACACCAACAGAGCUUGGCUGGAGAAAAACCCUAUACUCUUGGCCACUGCUGUGUAUACUUACCUUAGAUUAUUAGAGGAUCAUGAAGCAGCGCCAUUCAAGAACUUACGACAAAUGGAAAUUGAAUUCUGUUCCUCCUUGUUGAAAGAAAGGUUUGUAGACUGCAUUCCUAUUGGACGAGACCUUGUGCGACUGCUUCAAAAUGUGGCUAGAAUACCAGAGUUCAAUGCACUGUGGAAGGAUAUUGUACACAAACCUCAGUCGCUGUGUCCACAGUUUACAGGUAUUGCUCAGUUGCUUCACACAAGAACUUCUCGAAAGUUCCUAGCAUGUAGACUGCAUCCUGAGAUGGAGAACAAGAUUUUGUUUUUAACGUCUAAGGUUAAGUUUGGUCAGCAGAAAAGAUAUCAGGACUGGUUUCAAAAGCAGUAUCUGUCCACCCCUGAAAGCCAGAGCCUGCGGGGAGAUCUGAUUCGCUACAUUAUUGGUGUGGUGCAUCCUUGUAAUGAAGUGCUGUGUUCUGAUAUUAUACCACGAUGGGCCAUUAUUGGCUGGCUUUUGACAUCUUGUCAGACUGCAGUUUCUACAGCAAAUGCUAAACUUGCCUUGUUCUUUGACUGGCUCUUUUAUCAACCAGAUAAAGAUAACAUUAUGAAUAUUGAACCUGCUAUUUUGUUGAUGCACCAUUCUAUACGAAGUCACCCAGCAAUCACAAGUACCUUGAUGGACUUUCUCUGUCGGAUUAUUCAAAAUUACAGCACUUUACCUGAUGUUCAAGUUAAACAGGGAGUUAUCAAAGCAUUUCGGCAUAUUCUCAGUAAAAAAGUUGUAAUGUCCUUGUCUCCUUUGUUUGACAACCCUAAGAUGGACAGAGACCUUAGAAGUUUGAUAAGAAACACCUUGGCUGAGUUCUGUGACUCAGGUUCAAAACUUGAAGAAUCAUCAACAUCAGCGUUUAGCAAAGUAGAGAGCUCCUCAGCUUCUUCAUCAAGUGAUAUGCUCAGUUCACUGGGAUCCAGAAUGAUGGAGGCAGACACAAGUAGCAGCUCAAAGGACACUGAAUUGGCGGACAGUGGGGUUGAUGAAGAGCUGGAGCCACCUGACGAAGAAGCUGUGUUCUCUGACCCUGAUGAGGACGAGGACAGUGACAUGACAGCCAACAAAUCAGACAACAGUAAAGAGAAGGACUACGAGUUUAAACCAAUUGAAAAGGAAGCUUUAGAUGAGAAUGAAGAAAGAGAUAGCAAUGAAGAUAUCACUGAGCUUGAAGAUCUUGAGAAUUUGGGAGAUGAUCUGAAAGAGCUGGUUAUUAAAUUCUCUCAACAAAGCGACCCGGCAGUGCGAUCCAACAAAAUGGAAGAUAUCCUUAAAUGUAUUGAAUCCCUGGAUGAAUUUGAAGAUGAAACAGCAAAGUCUUUAGCAGUUUGUCUCAACUUUUGCCUGAUAGAUGAAUUAAUGACUCCGUGUAUCUCAAAGGACAGGAAUCCAGAGGACUGUCUAGAUGGACCAAUCUAUGUGCUGUGUCGGAGUAUCUGUGUUCUUCCCACCCAUGAUGUUGGUAGAGAGAGACACCUGACAUUGCUAGGGGCUCUACACACAGUGGAUCAAAAGUUUGGCUAUCGUUUUCUCUUCUUCCUAAAAGCAAGUGUUACAGAUGACGAGCGGCUCACAAUAUACGAGGACUUUGCGAAUACGUUCCGAGGAGAGAAGACACUUCAAGGAUGCUUAAGAGAUGAUUUGAAGGUUUGCCAGGAUUAUGAUAUCAAGGCCUUCCGCUAUAUCAUAUGCUCUAUUUACAAAAAGUUUCCAGAAUACGUUGUAGGAAACUCUGAAGUUCUUCACAUGCUUGUUGGAACCAUGGAGCCAAGACAGUUAAACCAGCUGAUGAGUGAGAUAACUUUGGGGGAAUUGACAGUAUUUGGAGAGGAUAGCAAACUUGACACUUUGCUAGAGAGUACUCUAGAAUGGGAGUCAUUUGAACAGCAGUGUGUGUGGCACCUUAUCCAAGCUGAGGAUGUGUUGCUGGAGUCAUUUGUCAAUAUUCUUCCUUCACUUAAAAAGGAUCUGCAUGCGGAGGCUUUGUCAAACUUACUUAUUCUCAUGAAAAGUGUUGCUCCUUCUGCGGACCUUGUUAUUCCAGUCUUAUCAAUGGAAUGUUCCGAAAAAAGGCCUGGAAACCAGUUUAGCGUUUCGCUGCUUAGAUACUGGGCACAGGAAUACCCAAGGGAACUUGCACAACUGAUUGGCCAACAGCUUUGUAAACAAGCCUCAGCAAGCAAGAAAAGAAAAGGUGCUAAAAGUCAGCUAGGUACAAAUUUGGAGCUUGUACUGAGCCAUUUGGAUUGGCUUCACAAGAUAUGCCAAGAGCAAGAAGAUUUGAGCUUUUUCAAACACGACGGCCUGAGAUCUGCUUUAGAUCAAGUUAAGCAAACUGCAAGCGAAGGAAGAAAAAAUAAGUAUGUUCACAAUUUUAUAUUUGACUGUAUUCGUUAUAUUCUGAGUACUUGGUGAAAACACUGCUAACUUUCACACAGGCCCUAGGAGAGAGCCAGUGAACUCAAGGGUACUUUUGUGGUCGCUGUUUUUUGACAUUUUCCGAGCGGAUAACUGGAAGUUACCUUUGUUGGUUUGUUACAGGUUUAAGCAGUUAUUUUCAAUGUGUGAAGAUAAAGACAGCAGGAAAAGGACUACACGGGCAUCCAUUCUAGCUGCUAACAGGGCAGCAUCAUCUUCCUCUGAAAGUGAAGAGGAAGAAGAACAAGCAGUGAAACCUCGCAACGCUAAGCGAAGGAGGAAAGCCAACACUACUGUUGAUUCAGACAGUGAUGAAUAGUAAUAAAUCGUUCUCUUGCUGUUUUUUACCCAUGGAUUGCUCUCUCUGUAAGAGUGCGUAAUAACGGCAGCAUCGGUAGAAGGAAGCGAAACGUUUUGGCUCCCGGAAUGAAUUAGACUGCGUUAAAUGUGGACUUGAAAAUGACGUGCUCGAGUUAAACUUGCAAGGAUCUAGAAAUUGCGCAGAUAAAUGAAAUACUUGAAAUUUCGGCAGUCGGCAUCCUGCAAGGUGAUCAAACCACGAUCUAUAAAGUGGAGUUGAAUGAUCUUCUCAGUCCACUCAAACAAUCAGUGAUGCAUAUUUAGCCAUUUCUACUUUUUCAACAUUGUAACUCUUGAGUACUGCCUUUAUGUUCCUUUAGGGAAAGAAAACUCUCUCCUCUUUAUACAUAAUAUUUUCAUCCAUUUUACCUUCAUCUUAAUGCACUACAUCUGCCUUUAAUUGGUAUUUUCAUAAUCCAAAAAGAUUGGAGUUUAGUGCAAACUAAACAAUGAACGAAGAAACUCUUGCUAUUCGAUUAUAUCUCUGUCUUUGCGGA